rnacentral:lncRNA from 1 species
UAGUUUUCUACUUGCAUACAGUAGAAGGGGAUGUUUGACACUACUUGGUCAUGGCUGAAAAUGGUACCCUUAGGCAUGGAGUGAAAUACACAUCUGGGCUAGGAGUUGGAGAAGCCAAAGGAGGAUCCUGGGGAAGAUGGAGCUGCUGCAAACAAACCUACAGGUGAGCCAGAAGGUCACUGGCAAUGUAUGUACACCCUCUUAAAUAAUGUCUUCUGCUUCAUGUUUGCCUUUCAAUCUGAUACAAGUACGUCUCUUGUCACCCACUCUAACUGGAAACAUAAGGGAAGAGAAUUCUGGGAAUUGAGUUCAGCCUAGCCAGUUGACAUAGUACAAAGUCACCACAGAAACACUUGUUUCCAUGGAACUUGCUUGGGUUCCAUUUUGCCACUGCAAUUAUUAAAAAGAGUGGCCAUGAGAAACCUCUGAGAAUAGAGCAGCUAGUCAAGUGGCAGGGCCCUGAGACCCAUGAAGCUGGCAGCAGCAUAAAAGAGAUUCGCAAAAUACUUGUAUUCAACAUGAAUGACUAGCUAAAUAGAAACAGAGUAUUCGUUUUCUGGUGCAGAAAUUUAGUUUCCAACAUAGCAGCUUCAUUAUUCGCAGUGGAGAGAGGGAUCGAUAGAGAUGGAAUUCCUCUGCUUGGAUUUUUCAUGUUUCUAUACCCCUCUACAUGCCUUAGGACUCUAGCUUACUGAAGUUUAUAUGAACUAGACUUCUGACUGAAAGGAAAGUAUAACAGCACUGUGAGGGAUAAUGAGGGGACAAAGUAGAAUAUAGCUACCUUGUUUAUGGGGGAAAACAGGCCAGCUCUUUCAAGAAUAAUACAUAGAAAGAAAGGGAACUAACAUGGGGAGAAUGAAAAAAUAUUAUAAAACUGCAAAAUGGAGGAGAUAGCUUCAGGAUGGGCAAGAAUAAGUUUUUGAAAAAGAUUUUCUGAAAGAAUAGGAUAUCUGUUUAAUGUUAUAAAAAAACUUCCAACUUAUUUUCUGAAAUAAGACAUUAAAGAUGAGAUAAAACAGCAGACUGAGCUAAAAAGAGAUUAUUUUGAGGCAGGCAGAAAUAUAAAAGAAGUGGGAUGUCAUAAGGAAAGAAAACAAUUAAUGAAAUAGCAUCUAUUAAAUUUGUAUUAAAAGAAGCACAAUUUAGACUUUUUUUAAAGUUACAUGAAUUUAAAAAAAAUUUUUUUAGUUGUUGAUAGACCCUUUUUUAAAAAAGAAAUUAUUUAUAUGUGGAGCUGAGAAUUGAACCCAGUGCCUCACACAUGCCAGACAAGUGUGCUACCACUGAGCCCCAGCCCCAUAAUUUAGACUUUUAAAAAUAAUUUUAAUAUUUCAUAUUGUGAGAUGUUUAAAAGACAAAAGUAGAGAGAUUAACUAGUCAUGUGAUGCACAUUUAUAAUCUCAGCUACUUGAGAGGAUAAGACAGAAGGAUCAAAAGUUCAAGGCCAGCCUAGGCAACUUAGUGAGACCCUGUCUCAAAAUAAAAAACAAAAAGGACCAGGGAUGUAGCUUGGUUGUAGAGCAGCCUCAGGUUUAAUACCCAGUUCCAGAAAAACAAAGUAAAGAGGUUAAUAUAAUAAUUGCCACUUGCUCACUGUCCAAUUUAUAUAAUUACAAAUAUUUUGUGAAUAAUUUUUAAAAAAUCUAUCUUUCUUAGCUCUUUUUGAUUAGAAUAUUUUAAAGCAAAUCCCAAACAUAAUUUUACCUGAAAAUACCUCAGUAUCCCCGGCACAUACAUAAAGCCUUUUUUUUUCUCCUCUUCAUUUAAAAAAAAAUGUAACCAUGAUUCCAUUACACAUUUAGCAAGAUUAAUAAUACUUCUUUAGUAUCAUCUAAUACCCAGACUGUGUUCAAAUUUCCUCAGUUGUCUCAACAAUUGUUUUAGAAAGUUGGCUUGUCUAAUCAGAAUCCAAACCAGCUCCACACAUUGUGUUCAAAUGAUAUGUCUAUAAAGAGUUUCAACUUGAUACCCAAGGACACCAAAUUAAUAAUAUGGAGAAAAUACUUGAAAUAUCUACUGAAGUUAUGAAGGAAAAGGAUGUAGACAUGAAAACAAGGAGCCAGAAGCUAGUGGUAGUGGGAAAUAGAGCACUGAGGUUCUACAUAUGGAUGGUUGAAUCUUACAAUCAAGAGCAGUGGAGACAGAAGAAAUAAUCAAAUAUAUAAUAAUAAAACAACUUUAAUACAAUAAAUAAAGAAUUGUGUAUACAGAAGUAAAGGGAUAACUAAAAAUUAAUGAAAAUAUACCAACACUUGGACCAGGGAUUCUCCCCCCCCCCACCCUUUUUAUUCUUAACUAUACAUGACAGUAGAAUGUAUUUUGGUAGAAUAUACAUACAUAAAGUAUAACUUAUUCUAUUAGGUUACCACUCUUGCAGUCAUACAUGAUGUGGAGUUAUCCUGGUCAUGUACACAAAUACAAGGCUAGGAAAGUUAUGACUAAGUAAUGUCUUUCCUAUUCCCCUCGCCCCUCACUUCUCUUCAUGUCCCUUUGCCUAGUCCAUUUUAUUUCUGUUAUUCCCUUCCCCAACCUCCCUUGUUUGGGGUUAGCAUCCACAAGUCAAAGAGGACAUUUGGCCUUUGAUUUGGGGGGGAUUGGCUUAUUUUGCUUAGCAUGAUAUUUUCCCAUUCCAGCCAUUUACUGGCAUAUGCCAUAAUUUCAUUCUUCUUUAUGACGGAGUAAUAUCCAUUGUGUAUAUAUACUACAUUUUCUUUAUUCCUCUGUUGAAGGACACCUAGGUUGUUUCCAUAGCUUGGCUAUUGUGAGUUGAGCUACAUUUUCCAUGGAUGUGGCUGUGUCACUGUAGUAUUCUGUUUUUAAUGAACCAGGUAUUCUUAACUUGAGGCUUUCUGUAGAUGCAUUUCAGGGUACUAAUGAAAAUUUAGAGAGAGAGAAAAAAAAAAAAACUCAGAUGUGUGGCCAUAUUGAACCUAUCACUCCCUGACAUUCAAUUUCUUAAUUGAGAUGUAUGAAAAUUAGAGGGUCUUAAUAUUUUUGUUGGUCUUAUAUCCUUGUAAGGAUUUAAUUAAAGUUAUUGAUCUCCCCAGGAAAAUGCACAAAAUGCACAGAUAUUUACUAUUUAUCAAAUAUCACCAUAGUAUCCCACUUCCAUGUACUGAUUUCUCUUUCAAUUAGAUAAUAAAGACAAUUACAAGCAUUUUGCAACAGCUAGAGAAAUUGUGUAAUGAAAUGUCCAAAGCAUAGUAGAUUAAAACAGCAAUUAGGAGGACUGGGUUGUGGCUCCGGGUAGAACAGUUGCCUAGCAUGUGUGAGGCCCUGGGUUCAAUCCUUAGCACUGCAUAUAAAUAAAUGAAUAAAUAAAUAAAAUAAAGGCUCAUUGACAUCUAAAAAACUAUAUUUAGUAGAGGAUAGGAAAGGUAGCAGAACACGACAGUCACUAGUAUGGCAAUAUGUAAAUCAAUGGAUGUGUAAUUGAUGUGAUUCUGCAAUCUGUAUAUGGGCUAAAAAUGGGAGUUCAUAACCCACUUGAAGCAAAGUGUGAAAGAUGAUAUAUCAAGAACUAUGUAAUGUUUUGAACAACCAACAAUAAAAAAAAACUAUAUUUAAAAAACAGCAAUUAGUUGUUUCUCAUGAUUUUGUGAGUUGGCUGGUAGGUAUAGGGAUAAUGUAGUGAUUAAUAUGAAAAUUAGCAAAGCUUAAAACUUGUUUCCAUUGAUGUAAAGAGUUUGUCAACUCACUACAUUUUUCUUAAAGAAACAUGGUAAUAGAGACACAAAAAGUUUAAUCAGCUUAAUGAUUUUGAAAUAAACAAUGAACUCAAUCAUCUUCCUAAUUUAACAGAAUCUUAUUAAGGUAAUUCUGGACAGUUUUAGUCCAUUUUAAACACAAUGCUAUAUUUUUUGUUUUGAGAAAUUUUAUAUCACAUUGCCAUAUAGCUCAAUGAGAACAUUUUUGGUUUUUUUUUGGGGGGUGGAUGGUACCGGAGAUUGAACUCAAGGACACUGGACCACUGAGCCACAUCCUCAGCUCUAUUUUGUAUUUAUUUAGAGACAAAGUCUCACUGAGUUGCUUAGUGCCUCAUGUCUGUUGAGUCUGGCUUUGAACUUGCAAUCCUCCAGCCUCAGCAGCCUGAGCCACUGGGAUUACAGGCCUUUGCCACCGCACCCAGCUGAGAACAUUCCUUCUUUAUCCUGAAAUACAGACCAUGGAUUGCUAUGCUUAACUGAGGAAGCAUCAAGACCAGCAAAUAUUAUACCAAAUCAAAAACAAAUUAUAUCAGUCAGAAUAGGUCAUACACUAAUCAUAAACAAUCCCCAAAUUUCAGUAGCUUGAGACAAUAUGUCAACAGGUUAUUUAAUUAUAAUUCCUCAGUUUUUACUUAUGUAUAAAGUGGAAAUAAUAAUACCUUUGUGUGAAACUGUUAUGAGGAUAUAAUAAAAAAUAUGUGUAAAACUUCUUAUUCUCAGUUACUUCCAGCACUAUAGUGGAAAUUCAAUAAAUUUUUUUUUUUUUUUUUUGCUUUUCUUUUCCCAGUUGAACAACCCAAAGCUGCAGUAACUGGGGAUCACUAUCUCCAAGAACAUAAGAGAUCCUUAAAAGGAAAGAGUCACCUCUGAAAUGACUUCCAGUUCAAUACUCCAGGCACUGUAAACCUUCUGAAAUGGUUAUUUUUCAGGGUAAUCAGUUUAGGAAUCAUGACUCACCAAAACUACCUCAACCUAUUUUUCUGAUGCCUGAAAUAUCUUUUAACAAGAGACAUUUCUGUUUUACCGGACUAUGGCAUUUUAUGAAUAGCAGUAGUGAAGACAGAAGAUAUGGAGUCAGAAAUACUCCAUAUUGAAACAGUGCCAUACUAACUUAACGACCAUAGGCAAUUCACUUAAUCUUUUUACAGAUGGUGAAGCACAGUCUUUGUGGUGCACAGUUUUGUUCUCACAAAGCAUAACUGUGUAACCACCACUGGAAUCAAGACAGUACAGGUUUAUUAUCCCCCAAUUCCCUCAUGCUUAGUUAACCCUUCUUUUCCCUGCUUUCUAGCAACUACAGAUCUAUUUUCUGUCACUAUUGUUUGGCCUUUCCCAGAAUGUCAUAUAAACAAAAAUCAUAUAAUGUAUUCAUCAGAUUUUCAUAGCUGUGGCCCAAAUACCUGACAAGAACAAUUUAGGAUAACUUAGAAGAGGAAAAGUCUGAGCUCAUGGUGUCAGAAGUUUCAUUCUAAGACUGUCUGGUUCCAACACUGUAGAUCUAAGGUGAGGAGGGACAUCAUAGUGUAAAGGCAUAGCAGAGAGAAGCUGCUCUGCUCAUGGCAAAGUGGAAGUAGAGAGGAAAGGAGGAGCCAGUGGAGAAGACAUAAUUUCCAAGAGUCGGAUGCUCCAUUGACCUAACUUCCUUCAGUCAUGGUCCACCUGCCUACAGUUAUCACUCAGUUCAUUCAGUCUAGAAUGGACUGAUUAGCUUUCAUCUCAUGACCUAAUCAUUUCAUCUCUGAAUAUUUUUGCAUUAACAAGGAGCUUUGGGGGGACACCUCAUAUCCAUAUAGUGUAUAGCCUUUUGAUUGUGCCUAUUAACAGAAUGUAUUUGAGAUUUAUCAGUGUUGUUAUGUUUAUUCACAGUUCAUUCCUUUUAUUUCUGAUGACUGUUCUACUUUAUGGAGAUACCAUAGUACAUUCUCUAGCUGAAGAACAAUUUGUAUUGUUUCAAGAAGUAUUUGUGAGUGUGUGUGCUUAGGAAUAAAGCUACUAGAAACACACACAUGCAUUUGUGUGUGUGUGUGUGAAAACAUUGUAUUCAUGUCUCUGAGGUAAAUCUCUAGGCAUAUCUGAUUUCUGUCCCCUAUUUUUCCACUCACAAUCAUAUACUUAGGUACCUUUUGACCUCAUUGGGGGGGGAAAUCUAAUGUUCAGAACUACCAAUAACAGGAAGAAGAGAAAAAACGAUUUUUUUUGGAGAAUGAAAUCAUAGAUAGUAAAUUCUUAAGCACAUUCUCCACAUAUGCCGCGUGCUAGUUGGGUAUCUUUUGGAAUCAUUGUUACACGUUUGGCAUGGGUAGCACAAAGGUUGGUGUCUUCAAAAAAGCCAACAAGAUAGGCCUUGCUUGCCUCCUGCAAAGCACCAAUAGUUGCGCUCUGGAAGCGCAGAUCUGUUUUGAAAUCUUGGGCAAUUUCUCGCACCAGACGCUGAAAGGGGAGUUUGCCAACCAGCAGUUCGCUGGACUUCUGUCUGAUAGAGUGUAAUUUCAUGGAGUGCCACAGCACCGGGCCUGGAACGAUGCGGUUUCUUCACCCUUCCAGUAGAGGGUGCCUGCUUGCAAGUCGGCUUUUGUGGCCAGCUGUUACCUGGGUGCUUUACCACCAGUGGAUCUGGGGGGCAGUCUGCUUUGUAUGAGCCACAACAGAAAGACCUUCUUACUUGCCCGCCAUCGGCUGGAGCUCCGUGAGCUAGAGGCGGCGCUGGUGUUAGAGAGUGACAACUGCGUGGUGGCGACUGCGAACACAAUUCCGUUUGCUUAUUUUCUAAAUACAAAUACAGAAUGGACUGAAACCCCCAUAAUUUGCCGCAGUCUGGCUGGGCACAAAUCACCGAGCCACCGCAAAGCACUUGUAUGUUCAAACAGGAAACUUUAUUGCCUGAACUCCAACAGCACUCCAAGCACACUUCCCAGGAACUCUCUCAAAGGCCACCCACGUGGCCCCUCUCCCACACACCACACCAACCGGAACUCCCUCCACCGGAACUUCACCAACCAACACAACUCCCCAGGAAAUCCCUGCAAGAACUCCAAAGUAGCGGGCGCCCCAGGAGGACAGUAGGAGUCUAUAUACAAUUGAAUCAAUCCAGCAUCAUCUUAAUGGCUCGCCUCUCAACCAUUACUUCUGGCAAAAUGCCAGGGGCCAUUCCGACUUGGCUCUCAACAAUAAUUCAUAUUUUGGGGAAUCAUGGGAGCCUGCCUACCCUGUAUUCAGCAGACCACAAAGUUUGGUUCAGGUUCAAAGAUGAGCAAGAACUUAGACUUUGUUCAAUGUUGGUUAUUUUUAUUCACUCCUAAAGCAGCCAACAAAAAGGGAAAAGUUUAGACAUCUAAGGAAGAUAUAGGUAGGGAAGUGUGGCUUCCCAUUGCAUCUCUCACAUCCCGAGGAGGAAUGCUAGAUGUCUAGUUCCUCUUGUUAGCCUUCCCAGAGAGAAGUGCUUCACCUGCCUGGAAAAGAGAAGACCUUUAUACCCCCAGUCAAACCAGCACACACUGUGCUCCUCCACAUUUAGCAAUGAUUCUGCACAUCAUUCAUGUGUAAUAGUUCUGGACCUUGAAGUUCUUUCAGUGACCACGCUGGGGAAAAUCCCUUAUCAACUCCCACUGUCCAGCAAGUCUGUUGGGGAAGUCCAGCCCUAGCUAUCCCAUUCCCUUGUCCCACCUGGUCAGUUGUCCCAACAAACUGUGAGCAUUUAAAGUGAUCCCAAAUCAGAAAUUCUUUUAUGGAUCUUCUAGAUAUACUCUUAACUAUUUAAUAUAUAUGAGAAUACUUUUAACCAAAAAAUAUUUAGUAGCCUGAAAUACCCUUGUUGUCAUACAUAGUUAUUUUGAUUUUUCCUAGUUCAGGCACUAAUUUGAAUAAGUCUCUUCUUUGUUGUUCAGUUACUUCUGAAGGACUGAAAUUAAUUGUACUAGUUUUUAAUAAAUAUUAUGUCUAAUUCUUAAGGAAAAUUAAAUAAUUUGGAAAGUAUACCGAAGCCAAUCUAUGAACAUGAGUUAUUUUAAACUUAAAGUUUUGAGUUUCCUGUACAUGGGGGUUUACUGCAGUUAUUUCCUGCAAAAUCCAGUUCUGUGGCAGAUUCUAAUGGCCUCAUCACAUUCGAGAUUCAGUAGAGUUAAGUGUUACUAGGUUUUCUUUUGCUAGUCGGAAUGAAUGGCAAUCUUUUUUUCAAAUCAUAUCCUUAAGUUCAAAAGCUCAUUUCAUUCACUGAUCUUUUUAAAUUUUUUUGUAACAGUAUUUAAAUUUAACAAAUUGCUGCAUGUGAUUUAUUUUCAAUUUAAUUACAGAGCCAAAAUGCUACAUAUAAUGAUGGAUGUAAGUACCAGUCAAUUCUUCACCCUGAUGGCUUGAGAAAGGCUGUAAAGUGUACCAUAGUCUUUCUAAAUAAUCUCCUAUGAGCCGUCUUUCCCUGCCAUUGAAUCAGUGCUGACAAAUAAAGUAUCAGAAUAGUAACUAAUAAGAGGUCAUGCUUUUGUGCCAAGCCCACCCCUUGCUUCUCUUUCAUAUUGAUGCUAAUGUGAUGCCAUUUAACACAGUUCAAGAAAAUUCAUAAAAUCAGUCUCUGCUUAGGAAGAACCUUUGAUCAAAGAUGGAUAAAUCACAGUGCCCCAGGAAUUGGUUUAAAAUAAGUAGCAGUGUAAUAUAUUUCUUUUUGUUAUGAGUUAAAGCUCUAAAAUGUAUUUUUAUAUUCUAGGGGGGAAAAACUCAGUUCUCUGAAACAAAAUGACAAGUAAAAAAGAAAACAAAACAAAAACCCUGCCCCACCCAUUGAAAACAUCAAUCUUAAUUCUAUAUUAUGCAACUAGUGGGUUCCAAAAUAAAGUUUCAGUUCAUACCUAUUUUCUGAGAGUUAGUCCACACAAGUGAAGUUCUUCCUUGAGUUAGAAGUCUUAUAUCUUUAAAAAAUUUUUAAAUUGAUUUUUAUCAUUGCAUAAUAAUUAUCAUAAUAGUAGGAUUAGUUGUUACAUAUGCCUACAUGCACACAACAUAAUUUCAUUAAUUUUAUUACUGAGUACCUCUCCUUUCUCUCUCCUCUUCCCUUCUCGUACUUUUCUUCCUUUAUUCUACUGGUCUCCCUUCUAUUUUAUUAGAUCCCAUGCCUUUUUCCCUUUUUUUGCUCUCUAGCUUCCACAUUAGAGGCCUUAUGUAUUCUUAAUAUUAUAUAUUUGUAUAUACAUAUAAUCAUGCAAUAUUACAUAAUGUUAAAUAAAUAUAUACCUUACUACAGUACAUAUGCAGGGGUCAUUUUUACUAGCUGUGAGGUCUUGGGCAGGUUAAUUAGCUAUUCUGAGUCUCAGUUUCUUCAUCUAUAAUUUACUUACUUGUUUAUUUAUUUGUUUACACUACUGGGGAUGGAAUCCAGUGACUUGUCUAUGCUAGGCAAUUGCUCUACACUGAGCUACAUCCUUAGCCCUUUAAAAAAACUAUUUUGACACAGGGUCUCACUAAGUUGCUGAGGACAGUUUCCAACUUGUGAUCCUCUACAUCAGCCUCCAAGUAGCUGGGAUUACAGGCAUGCACCAGCAUACCUGCUCUUUAUCUGUAAUUCUGAGAUAACAGUCUUGGGAUUGUUGUGUGGGUUAACCAGAUAUGUGUAAUAGCACUCAGUGGAGUGCCUGGUGUAU